UACGGAGGGGACUAGCGUUGUUCGGAAUUACUGGGCGUAAAGCGUGCGUAGACGGUUACUUAAGUCAGGUGUGAAAGCCCCGGGCUCAACCUGGGAAUUGCAUUUGAGACUGAAUAGCUAGGGUGCGGAAGAGGGAAGCGGAAUUUCCGGUGUAGCGGUGAAAUGCGUAGAUAUCGGAAGGAACAUCAGUGGCGAAAGCGGCUUCCUGGACCAGUACCGACGUUCAGGCACGAAAGCGUGGGGAGCAAACAGG
rnacentral:rRNA from 1 species